rnacentral:rRNA from 1 species
GACGAACGCUGGCGGCGUGCUUAACACAUGCAAGUCGAGCGAUGAAGUUCCUUCGGGAAUGGAUUAGCGGCGGACGGGUGAGUAACACGUGGGUAACCUGCCUCAUAGAGGGGAAUAGCCUUUCGAAAGGAAGAUUAAUACCGCAUAAGAUUGUAGCUUCGCAUGAAGUAGCAAUUAAAGGAGUAAUCCGCUAUGAGAUGGACCCGCGUCGCAUUAGCUAGUUGGUGAGGUAACGGCUCACCAAGGCGACGAUGCGUAGCCGACCUGAGAGGGUGAUCGGCCACAUUGGGACUGAGACACGGCCCAGACUCCUACGGGAGGCAGCAGUGGGAAUAUUGCACAAUGGGGGAAACCCUGAUGCAGCGACGCCGCGUGAGUGAUGACGGUCUUCGGAUUGUAAAACUCUGUCUUCAGGGACGAUAAUGACGGUACCUGAGGAGGAAGCCACGGCUAACUACGUGCCAGCCGCCGCCGUAAGAC